rnacentral:lncRNA from 1 species
CAAGAACAUAGGACUUAAUCGGUGAGCCACCAUCUUCCAAUGGAGGUGUCCACGUAAGUGUUGCUUUUUCAGCAGAAACAUUACUGAUUUCAAUGGGACCUGGGGGGCCAGGUACAUCGAGGACUGUUACCUUCACAUGUUCUUCCUUUGUGCCAAAAGGAUUGGUAGCAGUAAUGGUAUAUUCACCAGCAUCUUUUCUAGUGGCAUACUUGAUAGUAAGCAUGGAAGAUGUUGGAGUCGAAGAUAUCUGAACGAUAUCUGAUGGUCUAAUGUCUUUUCCGGCCCUAGACCAACUUGACUUUGGAAGGGGCUUGCCAAGAAUGCUAAUGGCACUCAAAACAAUGGUAUCUCCUGCUUUAAUUGUUAGCCCAUCUUUUAUUGUGGGAUCAAGGACGAUGGUUGGUGCCUCUGCAAAGAAAAAAAAUACAUUUUAAUCAAAAAAGGAAGGCAGCUUGAUUUGCCAUUUUUUAUAUGUAUAAUAGGUAAAAUACACCUACCAUAUUCAUCCUUGCAAAUAA